rnacentral:rRNA from 1 species
UACGUAGGGUGCAAGCGUUUGUCCGGAAUUAUUGGGCGUAAAGAGCUCGUAGGCGGUCUGUCACGUCGGCUGUGAAAUCCCGAGGCUCAACCUCGGGGUCUGCAGUCGAUACGGGCAAACUAGAGUAUUGCAGGGGGAGACUGGAAUUCCUGGUGUAGCGGUGAAAUGCGCAGAUAUCAGGAGGAACACCGGUGGCGAAGGCGGGUCUCUGGGCAAUAACUGACGCUGAGGAGCGAAAAGCGUGGGGGAGCGAACAGG